UACGGAGGGUGCGAGCGUUAAUCGGAAUUACUGGGCGUAAUGCGCGCGUAGGCGGUUUGUUAAGUCGGAUGUGAAAGCCCCGGGCUCAACCUGGGAACUGCACCCGAUACUGGCCGACUUGAGUGCGAGAGAGGGAGGUAGAAUUCCAUGUGUAGCGGUGAAAUGCGUAGAUAUAUGGAGGAAUACCGGUGGCGAAGGCGGCCUCCUGGCUCGACACUGACGCUGAGGUGCGAAAGCGUGGGUAGCAAACAGG
rnacentral:rRNA from 1 species